rnacentral:rRNA from 1 species
AACGCUGGCGGCGUGCCUAACACAUGCAAGUCGAACGAGAAAGUGGAGCAAUCCAUGAGUAAAGUGGCGACCGGGUGAGUAACACGUGACUAACCUACCUCCGAAUGGGGAAUAACUCCGGGAAACCGGGGCUAAUACCGCAUAACAUCGCAAGAUCAAAGCCGAAAGGCGUUUGGAGAGGGGGUCGCGGCUGAUUAGCUAGUUGGCGGGGUAACGGCCCACCAAGGCGAAGAUCGGUAUCCGGCCUGAGAGGGCGCACGGACACACUGGAACUGAAACACGGUCCAGACUCCUACGGGAGGCAGCAGUGGGGAAUUUUGCGCAAUGGGGGAAACCCUGACGCAGCAACGCCGCGUGGAGGAUGAAGCCCCUUGGGGCGUAAACUCCUUUCGACCAAGACGAUAAUGACGGU